rnacentral:rRNA from 1 species
UUUAAGGUGUUACCUGCCCAGUGCGUAAGUAAACGGCCGCAGUACUCUGACUGUGCUAAGGUAGCAUAAUCAGUUGGCUUUUAAAUGGAGUCGGGAAUGAACGGAUUAAUGUGGUUUAGCUGUCUCCUUUAUUACUUAUUUGAAUUUUCUAAGUAGGUGAAAAUGCCUACAAAACGAAAAAAGACGAGAAGACCCUGGGAAUUUUUAUUAAAAUUCUUAUGCGAAUUUCWUUUUUGUUGGGGCGACACAGAAAGAUUAUAAACUUUCUUUUAACUAUAUGCCGACUUCUAGUAUGGAAAAUUAAAUUACCCCAGGGAUAACAGCGUAAUUCUUUAAAGAGUUUGCGACCUCGAUGUUGGACUAGGAAUUAGUUAGGCUAGCCGCCUAAUUUUAUGGUUCUGUUCGAACUUUUGUUCCU